UACGAAGGGGGCUAGCGUUGCUCGGAAUCACUGGGCGUAAAGGGCGCGUAGGCGGUCCUGAUCGUCGGAUGUGAAAGGCCUGGGCUCAACCUGGGAACUGCAUCCGAUACGGCGGGACUGGAGUGUGGGAGAGGUUGGUGGAAUUCCCAGUGUAGAGGUGAAAUUCGUAGAUAUUGGGAAGAACACCGGUGGCGAAGGCGGCCAACUGGACCACAACUGACGCUGAGGCGCGAAGGCGUGGGGAGCAAACAGG
rnacentral:rRNA from 1 species